rnacentral:rRNA from 1 species
UACGGAAUGUGCAAACGUUAUUCGGAAUCACUGGGCUUAAAGAGUCCGUAGGCGGCAUGUUAGGUGAGGUGUGAAAUCCCACGGCUCAACCGUGGAAUUGCGCUUCAAACCGGCGUGCUUGAGGAAGAUAGAGGUGGGCGGAACUGAUGGUGGAGCGGUGAAAUGCGUUGAUAUCAUCAGGAAUACCGGAGGCGAAGGCGGCCCACUGGGUCUUUUCUGACGCUGAGGGACGAAAGCUAGGGGAGCGAACAGG